rnacentral:rRNA from 1 species
UCAGGAUGAACGCUAGCUACAGGCUAACACAUGCAAGUCGAGGGCGAUCGGGAAGUUGCUUGCAAUCUUGCCGGCGACCGGCGCACGGGUGAGUAACGCGUAUCCAACCUGGCCCUUAGUAGGGGAUAGCCCGGCGAAAGUCGGAUUAAUACCCUAUGUUUUCCCAUGAGAGCAUUUGAAUGGGAACAAAGGUUUACCGCUAUGGGAUGGGGAUGCGUCCGAUUAGCUUGCCGGCGGGUAACGGCCCACCGGGGCAUCGAUCGGUAGGGGUUCUGAGAGGAAGGUCCCCCACAUUGGAACUGAGACACGGUCCAAACUCCUACGGGAGGCAGCAGUGAGGAAUAUUGGUCAAUGGGCGUUAGCCUGAACCAGCCCGAAGUAGCGUGAGGGAUGACGGCCCUACGGGUUGUAAACCUCUUUUGCGGGGGAAUAAAGUUCGGCACGCGUGCCGUUUUGCAUGUACCCUGAGAAUAAGGACCGGCUAAUUCCGUGCCAGCCGCCGC